rnacentral:rRNA from 1 species
UACAGAGGUCUCAAGCGUUGUUCGGAUUCAUUGGGCGUAAAGGGUGCGUAGGCGGCGCGGUAAGUCGGGUGUGAAAUCUUGGAGCUUAACUCCGAAACUGCAUUCGAUACUGCCGUGCUUGAGGACUGGAGAGGAGACUGGAAUUUACGGUGUAGCGGUGAAAUGCGUAGAUAUCGUAAGGAAGACCAGUGGCGAAGGCGGGUCUCUGGACAGAUCCUGACGCUGAGGCACGAAGGUCAGGGGAGCAAACGGG